CCUACGUGAGGCAGCAGUGGGGGAUAUUGCACAAUGGGGGAAACCCUGAUGCAGCGACGCCGCGUGUGGGAAGACGGUCCUCUGGAUUGUAAACCACUGUCCCCAGGGACGAAGAUGACGGUACCUGGGGAGGAAGCUCCGGCUAACUACGUGCCAGCAGCCGCGGUAAUACGUAGGGAGCGAGCGUUGUCCGGAAUUACUGGGUGUAAAGGGAGCGUAGGCCGGACUGCAAGUUGGGUGUCAAAUCUACCGGCUCAACCGGUAGCCGCACUCAACACUGCAGUUCUUGAGUGAAGUAGAGGCAGGCGGAAUUCCUAGUGUAGCGGUGAAAUGCGUAGAUAUUAGGAGGAACACCAGUGGCGAAGGCGGCCUGCUGGGCUUUUACUGACGCUGAGGCUCGAAAGUGUGGGGAGCAAACAGGAUUAGAUACCCUGGUAGUC
rnacentral:rRNA from 1 species